rnacentral:rRNA from 1 species
CCUACGGGGGGCAGCAGUGAGGAAUAUUGGUCAAUGGACGAGAGUCUGAACCAGCCAAGUAGCGUGAAGGAUGACUGCUCUAUGGUUUGUAAACUUCUUUUAUAAAGGAAUAAAACGAGGCACGUGUGCCUUUUUGUAUGUACUUUAUGAAUAAGCAUCGGCUAACUCCGUGCCAGCAGCCGCGGUAAUACGGAGGAUGCGAGCGUUAUCCGGAUUUAUUGGGUUUAAAGGGUGCGUAGGUGGGUAAUUAAGUCAGUUGUGAAAGUUUGUGGCUCAACCGUAAAAUUGCCAUUGAUACUGGUUGUCUUGAGUACAUUUGAGGUAGGCGGAAUGCGUGGUGUAGCGGUGAAAUGCAUAGAUAUCACGAAGAACCCCGAUUGCGAAGGCAGCUUACUAAACUGUGACUGACAUUGAUGCUCGAAAGCGUGGGUAUCAAACAGGAUUAGAUACCCUAGUAGUC